AUCCAGCAGACGAGUCCCAAAUAGGACAAAAUACGCGUCCUGGAU
rfam:Schistosoma haematobium scaffold1248_9, whole genome shotgun sequence.